rnacentral:sRNA from 1 species
GUAACAUCCAUGAAGCCAAUUAUACAUUUAUAAAAUCAAGCCAUCUAGCACAGACGACAUCUCCUCAAUAAUCAUGUCUACUUCUACUUCCUUUCUUCUCCCUACGUCUUCCAGGCGUUUUUUCCCUCCUCCAAUUUUGCUCGUCAUCAUCGCCGUACUCUUCCACCACAGCUUCAUCCUGUCCCUGCCUGGAUCUGUCCCGGGUUAUGUCAUCGUAAGCCCUAUUCAAAGUUGCUUGCGUGCAGUCCACAAGCCAGUUUAUCCUUCUUUGACUUAAAUAAUGAAAAUGGCUUUCAAGUGUUGGAACCACCGCGUCCAUGGCUUCGUCGAUCCAUACCGAUCUUGAUGGUAAAGGUGAAUCCGAAGGCAUGGACAACCGAAAAGUUUCCUCCUUAUCGCCCUUAACAUCAUCUGCGGUAUACUUAAUCACAAUUGUCUCCUUUAUCUCAGAAGGUCUCGCGCCACCUUCAUCCGCCGAUCCGCUCUCCAUGUCUGGCUCCUGGGUGAACCUUUCGUUAUCAUCCAUCCAUUGAUGAACUCUCCCGUAGCAAUUUCCACUACUGCCAGACAUAAACGAUUCUGGAUCUCUUCGCGGUGGUGGUCUCCGGGGGAAAACUCGAGCAUGCCUGUGAAACAUGUUUUCUCUGUCCGUUGGCAAAGUACUCGAACGUAGACCGCCUCGGGCUCGCCAAUCCUCCCCUGCAAGGCCUCCAGGUCCCCACGUACUCGCUCUCGGUGGUCUCCCACUACCAGACGGCUCAACCAUACUCGCCCUCCGAUUGCGAUUCCUUCCAGCCGCGGGUCCAUUACCUAACCCAGUAUUGCCUAGCCUGCAGGCCAAAUCAUCCAAAUCAUCCCAAUCCGAAUCAACAACCUGCGAUGAUCUACGCGCACUGUAACGGCAGGAGAUAUAUGGCCCAGAUAUUGGUCCAGCGCCGGUCGGAGUAGGCGGGAUAGGGGGGUCAGUACAUGAGUAAAAGUUUGAACCUGAGAAGCUCUUAUUACGUGAGAAGCGACUCCUAAGCCUCCAGCUGGUAGGUAGGGUGCUGAAGAAUGGGUCAGAAGAAGAAGGGUGGGUUGAGAAGGAGCGGGGAAAUGGUGGUGGAAAGAAAGCGGAGGAUGGGCGAGAAGUGAAGGGGGCGCCAAUACUAUAGCAUGUUGGAUUUGUGCAAAACCGGUCUCUACAUAAUGGUACUGUAGUUCACCCGGUUAGCAAGGUACUCUGACAUGUAGAACGGAAAGGCAUCACCUGUAGAAGGAAAGUAACUCAUACUGCUCUAUCUUAAGACUGGUUAUCAGCUUGUACUGAUACAGAUUGAAUUCCAAUAUGUGAUUGCCACCUGUUAAACUCCAUGCAAACACACACCUCUGAUAGUCCCUCCCCAGCACCUCCUCAACACUCCGAUCCUUCUUCUCCGAGCUUUCAAAAGAACAUCUCCCCUGAUAGCGGAGAUAUAUGACGAAGCAUCCCUGCCUGAGACGGCUCGCUUAGAGCGCAACCAUUGCCAGUCCGAAUAGGUAAGAUGAAAGGGAGAAUUCCAUCUUAAGCCUAUGCCUUCCUUUUUCCCUGGCUGUUGAGAAGAAGACAUUGGACAUGAACAUGAACAUGAACAUGUCAUAUUUUGGAUGGGAUCUUCCUGCGACUGUUUUUAGCAUCUUUGUCAAUUAUCACACAAACGCCCAUGAUUAGCUCUACAUAGACCUAAUGAUUCGCACAACGACUUAGCACAUGGGAGGGAGGACAAAGGGAAUGGUAGACGUAUGACGUAAAUACAUUUCCCAAAAGUUCCAGCUUUGGGCAAACUGCAGAUAGAAUAAGCUAUAU